CUCCCACCCUUGAAUACUAUGUUUGUUGCUUUGGCGGGCCACGAGGCCUAGCCGCGCCCCGGCUUCGGCGGGGGAGCGCCCGCCAGAGGACCCCAACCCUGAAUAUUAGUGUCGUCUGAGUACUAUAUAAUAGUUAAAACUUUCAACAACGGAUCUCUUGGUUCUGGCAUCGAUGAAGAACGCAGCGAAAUGCGAUAAGUAAUGUGAAUUGCAGAAUUCAGUGAAUCAUCGAAUCUUUGAACGCACAUUGCGCCCCUUGGUAUUCCGAGGGGCAUGCCAGUUCGAGCGUCAUAUUAGCCAAUCCAGCUUGCUGGGUCUUGGGCACCGCUAUAUAGCGGGCCUCAAACACAGUGGCGGUACGGCCGGGCUCUAAGCGUAGUAAUUCUUCUCGCUAUGGGGUCCUGGGCGGCACCUGCCAGCAACCCCCAAUUUAUUAGGUUGACCUCGGAUCAGGUAGGGAUACCCGCUGAACUUAAGCAUAU
rnacentral:rRNA from 1 species